rnacentral:tRNA from 1 species
AAUAAAGUGCCUGAUUAAAGGAUUGUUUUGAUAGGGCAAAGAAUGUGUUUUGCACCUUUAUUA